GACGAACGCUGGCGGCGUGCCUAAUACAUGCAAGUUGAGCGCUGAAGGUUGGUACUUGUCCCGACUGGAUGAGCAGCGAACGGGUGAGUAACGCGUGGGGAAUCUGCCUUUGAGCGGGGGACAACAUUUGGAAACGAAUGCUAAUACCGCAUAAAAACUUUAAACACAAGUUUUAAGUUUGAAAGAUGCAAUUGCAUCACUCAAAGAUGAUCCCGCGUUGUAUUAGCUAGUUGGUGAGGUAAAGGCUCACCAAGGCGAUGAUACAUAGCCGACCUGAGAGGGUGAUCCGCCACAAUGGGACUGAGACACGGCCCAAACCCCUACGGGAGGCAGCAGGAGGGGAUCUUCGGCAAAGGACGAAAGUCUGACCGAGCAACGCCGCGUGAGUGAAGAAGGGUUUCGGAUCGUAAAACUCUGUUGGUAGAGAAGAACGUUGGUGAGAGUGGAAAGCUCAUCAAGUGACGGUAACUACACAGAAAGGGACGGCUAACUACGUG
rnacentral:rRNA from 1 species